GUGGAUGAGUAGUUCGUAUAUCUGAAAAAUGGACCUGUUUACUAGAGACCCAGCUGACCCCUGUGGCUAGGAGCACCUUCCCAGAGUCUCAUCAGAUGUGGCAGUGGUAGCCAUUCCUGGAGCUGGAUAGCUUGACCGAAGUAAUUCAGGCAUUGGUAACUUCAAGACUGCAUUACUGCAGAGCAAUCUAUGUGGGGCUUUCCUUGCAAUUUGUCUGGAAUCUGCAGUUACUACAGAAUGUUGCAGUUUGGUUGCUGACCCAAAUGAGAUUCUGCUAGCAUAGUUCACCUCUGCUCAAAGUUCUGCACUAGCUGCCAAUUUGCCACUGGCCCACAUCCAAGGUCUCCAAGUAUAUGCAGCCCUUAACAGCUUGGAACUUGUUUAGCUGAGGGAUUGCCUUGCCCCCUACAUGCCUACUGAACCACUUUGAUCUGCGGAACUUAAACACUUGCAAGUACCUUAUGACAUUUUCUCUGUAUAGUCAUACCUUGGUUUCCGAACAGCUUAGUUCUUGAACGUUUUGGCUCCCGAAUGUAGCAAACCUGGAAGUCAGUGUUCCGGUUUGCAAACUAUUUUUGGAAGCUGAACAUCCAACGGGCCUUCCGUGGUUUCCAAACAUUUUGGAAGUCGAACAGACUUCCGGAAUGCAUUCCACUGGACUUCCAAGGUACGGUUGUAUCUGCAAGGACUUGGGCUUCCUGUGUGGCACCACCUGUGCUCUUCUAAAGAAGAAACAAAUGUAAAUACAGUGGUACCUCGGGUUAAGUACUUAAUUCAUUCCGGAGGUCUGUUCUUAACCUGAAACUGUUCUUAACCUGAGGCACCACUUUAGCUAAUGGGGCCUCCUGCUGCUGCCGCGUCGCUGGAGCACGAUUUCUGUUCUCAUCCUGAAGCAAAGUUCUUAACCCGAGGUAAUAUUUCUGGGUUAGCAGAGUCUGUAACCUGAAGUGUAUGUAACCUGAAGCGUUUGAAACCCGAGGUGCCACUGUAGUAAUUAAUCAGCCUAGGAAUUGCAUCACUCAAUUUGUCAAGUUCUAUGUUACGAGCUUGAAACAUACACAAUGGUGGGAGAGGUUUUCAAUAUCAUAUGAUAUUUAUCUGAUAACUGGAAACAUUCUGUUUGUGUCAGGCAUUUUUGCAUAGUGUUCACCGUGUGCCAACCUUUUCAUUACGUUUGAACUGUGUGUUUCUUGUUUGUUUGCUACCAAGCAUAUGGCAGCUUCCCACCAUCCCAGUUGGGCAUUGUAGCACCCACCUGCAAGUCCAUAAAAUGUCCUUGGAAAAGGCAGAGCCCUUUGCAACAGAAGAUUGCCAUGCCAAAAGAACUAAGAGCACUGCUGUGCCAUAUGACAGGAUACUAAUGUCAACAUAAAUUAAUAUCAGGAAGGCAGAAAUAAUUAUAACAAAGAUAUAGUUCUAGAAAAGUUGUGCUUUACAGAAUUUGAAAUGAAACUGGUUAAGAUACCAUGACUCCAUUUAGACAAAGAAUGCAGAGCCAGAGGUCCUUCAACUGUUGUUGGACUCCCAGUUUUCAUUGGCCCCAGCCAGUGUGGCCAGUGGUCAAGAUGUUGGAUUGGUAGUCCAAUAAGAUCUGGAGGGCCACAGGUUCUACAUUUCUGAUUCAGGCCUGUUCCCAAAAGCUUAAAGAGGGAUCAGUCAGAAAGAUCAGGGAAUGGUGUUUACUGAUGUGUUUACCUUUUUGUUUUUACUGUAGUAUUGUCUUUUUAGGUUGUCUACCACGUAUGGUUUUGCUUUAAAUGGCCUGGGUCUAAGGUAACUGAAGGCUUGCCUCUUUCUGUUUGCUAUCUGCAUUUCUAAAUUCAUUGGGUGAAACACUGCCUUUCUGAUGUUAGGCAUUUGGCUAAAAGAAACAGGGCUUUCUCAUUGCCGGUGUCUACUUUGAAGGACGUUCUGCCAAAGGACACCUGCCAGGUACAUUCACUUUUCAAUGACACAGUGCUUUUUUCUAGAAAAAAAGGUGCAGGAACUCAUCACAAACAGACCUUUGUACUAGUAUUAGAGGUGACUCCCCAUUUGUGCAGAGGUUCCGUUUGGGGCCCCUGCGGGCAUAUGCAAAAUUGCAUAUAAUGGGGAGCACCCUGGAGAGUCCUAGUGGCUCAAAGAGGAGACCCACCCCAGAGCCCAAAGAGGGCGGCUUGCAGAGCUGACGUACAGGGAGGCUUCUUCCCUGUGCCUCAGCUCUGACAGUCCAUGGAACAGCCUUGCUUCUUUGGCUUGAGCAUAAGCAGGAGAGACAGGGCAGCUUGCAGAGCUGAUGCGCUGGGCUUCUUACCAUGCAUUAGCUGUUAGCCUGGAGGCUGAAGAGCCCUUCUGUGCCUCCAGCUCACAAGGAGACCUUCUCUGGAGCCCAUGGAGGAUGUCCCCUUCAUGUUCUGAGGAGGGUCUCCUUGUGAGCCACAGGGACGAGGUGAGAGGUGCUGGAACUGUGUUCCGGCACGUUCCAGCUCAAAAAAGCCCUGCGAAGACUGAUAAAGACUUUCCCUUCUUGUAGGAAACCAACAAGAACCAUGAAUGAUGGUAGACCCUCUUAAUAGAAUUCCUACCCUUUCACAGGUUGUGAAGCCCAAAGUUCUAUGUCUUUAUCAAGUAAUGAUAUGACUGUGAAAAAAACAAAGAAUAAAUGCUUCCCAUAGAGACCUUGCUUGCUUGUGUGAAUUGUCAUAUUCAGAGUGUGCCAUGCUACACAUACAUUCCUCCCCAAACACUCUAUAAUAUAUAUCUAAAUAGUAUUUAGAUUUUAAUAUUUAAUAGGUUUAUAUUGAUGCUUCCUUCCAUUAACCUAAAAGUGGAUGAAUUGAAUAGUUUUUUCUGUAGAAACUAGGUAUAGAUUAAUAUGCUAGUCAACUAUAAAUGCAGAGAACAGGGCAGCAUGAGUAGGUUUAUAAUCUUGGGUGAUUGCCAACAAUAGAUUUUGCUUGCUAUUCUUCAGUGGUUGUAUUUAUCAAGUGAAUGCAUUAUCCUCACAUGUGAUUCCAUAUAUUAGGUGCAGAGAACAACUUAGCUCCUACGCAAGUGGUAUGCAUGAUAUUCAUGCACUGGUCAUCUGCCAGACUGUUUUGUGCUACUCAUCCUGUUAUUAAACUGAAACUUGGGGGUGAUUUAAGAGCGUGUGAUUGUCUCUUGAAAUAAUUGUGCAUAUAAAGGGUACAGAAAAUAUUUGCUAAAGUGAAACUGCUUUUGAGAACGUUUAAAUUGCAACUGAAUACUAAGGGUGCAAAUGGCAGCACGUAGACCCACUACAUAGAAGCCAGUACAGUCUACACUGCCAGUAUUAUGGCCAAGCCAUUCACUCUAAACAGAGAACCUCCUCCAGGAGCAAUUAGAAUGACCAAAAUGUGUUUCAGAGAUUUCAAGCUAAAGUCUUUCUUUUCAAAAUAGUUUUUUACCCAUGAUUUCUGCAUCUUGGCUUUAUUUCUGUUAAAUAAAUCAUGACACAGAAUAAUAUAUCAUGUGUUGUUGUUCACCUGAGGUUGUAUUUACCUAAUUUUAAGACCUGCUAAGGAACAAAUGAUUGCUAUUAUGUCCUGAUAUGUAAAACCACAGAAUUCAAAGAGGGUGCACUUUCUUUUUCCCGUGACUGUAUUUGUUAUUUUAUAGAAACAAUAUGAUCUGUGUUGGUGUGUGUGAAAUUGAUAUCUUCCAAUGCGGCAUACAAUGUCUUGCCUUGAGAAAUUUCACAUUCACUUAUAUGCAUAUUAUGGAAUUUCAAUUGCAGUAUUGGUGGAUUUUAUUGCCUAUGAAAAUACUGAAUUUCAGGCUUUAUCCUAUUCCAGAUUCAUAACAGCUUAGGAGUAAAUGGUGAAAUGUCUAUGUUCUUCAGAAAAAUAUUCACGAAACUGCAUGAAUUGGACAGAUACUCAUCCUAAGGCUGUUUAGUAUACCUCAAACUUUUAUCUACCAAGAUUCCUAGAACCUAGGCAAGAGCUCAGCUGGUAUAACACGAGACUCUUAAUCUCAGGGCUGUGGGUUUGAACCCCACAUUGGGCAAAAAGAUUCCUGCACUGCAGGGGGUUGGACUAGAUGAUCCUAAUGGUCCCUUCCAACUCUGCAAUUAUAGGAUAUUAUUAAGUGUGUUCAACUACAAGACCUUAACGGAGAUAGGUGAUAGCUUAGCGAUAAUGCAUGCUUGGCAUUCAGAAGGUCCCAUGUUCAAUGCCUGACACAUCCAGGUAGGGCUGGGAAUAGGAAACCCCCGCAAAAAACACCUCCUGUCUAAAACACCGGAGAGUUGCUACCAACCUGAGCAGACAGUACUGAGCUAAACUAACCAAUAGUCUCAACCUUGUGAAGGCAUUUUACAUACUCACCCUCAUACUCCACUAUACAUAUUACAGUGGUACCUCAAGUUAAGAACUUAAUUUGUUCUGGAUGUCCGUUCUAAACCUGAAACUGUUCUUAACUUGAAGCACCACUUUAGCUAAUGGGGCCUCCCGCUGCCACUGCCGCAUGAUUUCUGUUCUCAUCCUGAAACAAAGUUCUUAACCCGAGGUACUAUUUCUGGAUUAGCGGAGUCUGUAACCUGAAGCGUCUGUAACCUGAAGUGUCUGUAACCCGAGGUACCACUGUAUAUUGUUAUGGUUACUGCACUGGAGAUCCUAUAUUUGAAAAGGAAAUCCCAUUAACUUUCCUGCUUUUGCCUCUCACUCUCCUGUUAGUCUUAUGAGAGCUCCUCAGGAAGUUCGUCUUUCAUGUUUUCCUGUCACAAUGUUUCAGUUGCAAUACUUCAUGUCAGCCUUCAGUAUGUCACUGUGCGCCAUUUCCUUACAACCUCUCAAUAAAGUUAUGGCAUCUGUUCACCUGAACAUUUACCCUCCUACUCACGCCUACUUCCACCUGCCUACUG
rnacentral:lncRNA from 1 species